rnacentral:rRNA from 1 species
UUAGGAAUAUUCGUCAAUGGGGGAAACCCUGAACGAGCAAUGCCGCGUGAGUGAAGACGGUCCUCUGGAUUGUAAAACUCUGUUGUUUGGAAAGAAUUGUUAAAAUAGGAAAUGAUUUUAAUUUGACGGUACCAUUCAAGAAAGCCACGGCUAACUACGUGCCAGCAGCCGCGGUAAUACGUAGGUGGCGAGCGUUAUCCGGAUUUAUUGGGCGUAAAGCGUCCGCAGCCGGCUUAUUAAGUCUAGAAUAAAAGCCUGGAGCUUAACUCCAGUUCGUUCUAGAAACUGGUAGGCUUGAGUGUGGUAGAGGCAAGUGGAAUUUCUAGUGUAGCGGUAGAAUGCGUAGAUAUUAGAAGGAACACCAGUGGCGAAGGCGACUUGCUGGGCCAUUACUGACGGUCAGGGACGAAAGCGUGGGGAGCAAAUAGG